rnacentral:tRNA from 1 species
GGUAGCUCAGUUGGUAGAGCGCUUCACUGGAGAUGAAAAGGUCCCUGGCUCGAUACCAGAACCA